GUAACAUAAUAAUUAUUACACUUUUACAUCAUAUGUUCAAACUUUAUAUAUUAUGUACAGUACAGUCAACAUCGAAUGCGAAAACAUCUACAUAGAGUGUACACAGGGAACAACAGGUUUAAAAAUUUAUAUUAUAUAGAUUUCUAUACUUUGAAUUAUUUAUAUACAAUAGCUAUUUUAUAUAUAGUGUACUUGCAUCUCUAUACAAGGUAUAUAAAAGGUUAUAAUUAGAGCACAAAUAUAUGGUAUAUUCACCUAGUCUUAUAACGAGUUUGCGUAUGUCGACAACGUUGUUGGUUUUGGUUUCGAAUAUCGAAACACAAAGUGUCAAGAUGUACCUGGACCUAAACAUUGGCGUCGAUUCCGAUAUUUUUCUCAAACUAAAUUUAGAGUUACUGUAUCUUUUUCUUUUGAUUAUUGCUAUAAAAGGACGGAAAAUGAAUUUUAAAUUAAAGACUCUAAAUUUUAGUGCUAUUCUACAAAACGUACAAUGCUCAUAUCAAGACUGACACCUAAAGACACGAGGUUUGACAGUUUUAAAUUAAAUUUUGUUUGUCUGUCCUUUUCUAAUUACAUUGGUAAGAAAAAGAUGUGAAUACUCUAAAAUCAGUUGCGAUCAGAAUCAGUACCAUUGUUUUAGAGUCGUUUAUUCAGUAGCUACAACCAAUUUCCAAAAAGGAGGUUUAGGGCGAGCGCUGGUUAUAAAUGUAUGGACGAACUCAACCCUUAAAACAAGGGAGUUUGAGUCCAAUUUUCUUUGAAGAUAUAGUGCAAAGCGACGUGCAAACUCAUCCUAAGCCUCAGGGUAUCAACGAGUGAAAUCUUUACUAGGUAUAACAUUUUUAUACGUAAGUUUGUAUAUGCCUAUGUUAAAGGCCUUGAACACAUUGGCCCAACGCACUUGGCGAAUUAAUUCGGCGAAGCCGUACAACGAACUUGGGGUGAUAUUUUUACCGAGUGAGGCAGCGCUUUCUGACUUUGCCAGACUUUCAUCAAUUACUAACAAGUAACAGACAAUGUUCAAACAUUGGCCGACACUUGCCAAACGCAUUGGACUAAUGAGCAUCUAAUGGAGCCUUAGUGGCAAAGUUCGCAUAGUGGUUAAAGCCGUCUCAGUUCUAGUGGAAUUCACUUUGCAUACAUAGAAAGAGAUAACGGUUUCAUACAGCAUUGUCUCUGUCGUUGAGACAGACCAAACGUCACACAGGUAUGAGUGAUAGAGACGACGCUCUACGAAGCAGAAAUCUCUGUCUAAAGAUCGAUGUGCAAUAUUUUCUGCUGGCAGCUAUAGCUACAACAAAGUUCUCAAGUAGGUAUCGGGCAAAAUGCCCGGUUUUAUUUGUAGGUUCACAUUAAUUAUCAAUACAUUUUAGUUAGUGAUGAAACGUGGAAAUUAAGAUCGAUAAUUUAAUCCGAUUUAUAUUUGCAUUGAGUAAAUUGGCAGAUCAAUAUGGCUAUGUAACAACAAAUAUUAUUGAAACGAUGGAAACACACGAUGAAUGUCAUCAUUACUAAAUAAUUAUAAACUUUUACAGGGCAUGGUAUAGCAUGAAUUACAAUUCAUGAUAUACCGUGCCUUGUCAAUGUAUUAAAAACAAGACGAUGUCUGCGUGGAUUUAUGCGUUUGUGAGGACUCCUUGAUUUUUCGGGAUAAAUAUUAAUAAUAUCAUCAAAUUUAGAUAAACCAAACCUAAAGGUAACAGACAGACAAGCAAUUUUGCAUUUACAUAGUAAUUUGCAAGUAUAACAUAUACUUGCAAAUUACUAAGGGGCCGGGUCGGCUCAUAAACGGCGAAAAUGAAACCAUGCCUAAAUUAAUACCUAAUAAUAAUUAUUAUCUCACUUUACAUGACGAAUAAACCGAUACCAUUGCAUAAGUCGAGUCGCUAUCUGAAAUAAUUAUUUACUUUCGUUGAUAAGCGGGAUUAACAAUUAAAUAUUAUCAAUAGUAGGUAAUAUUUUUCCAUUCGUAAGAUAUACGCAGACUUGUUUCAUAUUAUAUACAUAUUUUGAACCUUAACAUUUAAACAGAUAAAGUAGGUGCCUAUGCUAUGUAUUCGUGACAAGAAACGUAGCUCCACUUAAAAAUCUGACAGAAAAAAAAUAUACGAAAGUGCUUAAAGAUUGCAUUGGAAAACUAAUCUUAUACCGAAAACAUUAAAGUGUAAAUCGCCUAAAUGACAAAUAUACAUUUCCUACUGAGAAGCCUCCAGUUCACGUUGGCCCAUCGUAUUCGUCGAGAGUUGGCCAACGUAUGAGGACCAAAUCCAAUUUUUUGGCGAUAACUCUUAAAAACAUUUUUUGCAGCUAACAACUUUUUAGUUAGAAUAGCAGCAAGUGCUACACACUUUUUAGCCGAAUACGUUCUCCGAAAUGAUGGGCCAACGUAUGCAAGGGACACAAGGAACACUCACCAAGCAUCUAAAAAUCUUACAAAACUUUACAACUUAUUUCUCCUCGAAAUAUUAUAACUUAAUUUAAAUAAUAAGUUGUUAUUUUAUAUAAAAAUAGGAAUGUAAGUAUAAUAUUGCAUUCGAACAUUAAAAAAUAUUCCUUAAUUUGCACCUUUUUAAAAAUAAACUGUACCGACAGAAUGCUUCUAUCAAACCUAUUUGCCAUUCCACAAUAUUUCGAUAAAACUAUUACAAGAACCUAAGUUAACUACUAAAACUAAUAGAAACAUGAAAAUUAAUCCAAAGAAUAGUUAAAAUCCGGCCCAUACUUAAAAUAAACAAUACAACAAUAGGGCUUUUUUAACUAAUAAAAUUGUAAGUCCGCCAUUACACCUGAAAGUUUUACUCCCGUAAGUACCUUACGUAAUUAAUUUUUAACAAAUUUACUAAGGUAAACGAGUGUUUAAAUGUGUCGUGAGUUAAUUAUGUAAGCUACUAACGUUAGUAAAACUUACAGCUGUAAUUGCGGGCUAAGGGCAAAACUAUUAAUAUUAAAAUGCGACUAGUCAACGUGUCAACGCGACUCUCACAAAACCCCCAAUACCUUCCCUAUAUUGUGCCAUAGACACAAAAAUCCCAUAGAUAUACCCACGUCCGUCCGUCCAAAACUAUUGACAAUACCCAUCCAGCACGGCGUAGUGUGAAUCAUCCCUAAUCCCUGUACCCAACACAAUCUACUUUGGACCCAUAGAAGUGAAAAUUUACUACAAGAUUAAAGACAUCUAAAAGGUCUAAAAAUUCUAAGAAAUGACGAUGUUGGACUAACAUCCACAGCUACAAAUUAACCUCAUGAUUAUAGAUAAUAUC